GCCUAUUGAGUAUUGCUGAGUACACUUGCCUUCCAAGUAAGAAGUUUAGGGAACUAAAGUAGGUA
rnacentral:tRNA from 1 species